CGCCGACUCAUUAAUUACAUACACAAAUCCCCCCCACGCGACGACCACACGACGACGGAGACACGCACACGACGACGACGAAACGGAUCAGCCCGAGGCAGAUCGAAGGGGAUCGAUCUAGCAGAAGAGGUAGCCGAACGCGGCGGCUGCGAGGGAGGCGGCCGCGAGGGGCACCGCGGGGGCGGCGUCGGAGACGGGCGCCGGUGCCGGCGCGUGGUCGGCUGCCGCUGACGCGACGAGGGACGCGGCGAUGGCGGCGACCGCGAGCGCCUUCAUCCUGAGACCGGCCAUUGUCUUCGGAACUCGGAAGAGGAUUAGGGCUUCGACUUCUAGAUCUUUCUGGCGAGAAGCAGAGAGAUGGGUAGUAGUAGUAGGAGGCGG
rnacentral:misc_RNA from 1 species